UCUCAGUUCGGAUUGUAGUCUGCAACUCGACUACAUGAAGCUGGAAUCGCUAGUAAUCGCGAAUCAGAAUGUCGCGGUGAAUACGUUCCCGGGUCUUGUACACACCGCCCGUCACACCAUGGGAGUUGACAACGCCCGAAGUCAGUGACCCAACCGCAAGGGAGGGAGCUGCCGAAGGCGGGGUUGAUAACUGGGGUGAAGUCGUAACAAGGUACC
rnacentral:rRNA from 1 species